rnacentral:lncRNA from 1 species
CAGUAUAAGAAGUGUCCAGAUGAUCAAUAUCAGAAUAGUCAGAGAAUUUACUGUCUUCCAAAGGAUGUGAACUUCUUGGCUUUUGAAGGCCCUUUGGGGAUGUCUCUGGCCUGCACAGCCCUGCCUCUCUGUCCUUACUGCAGUGGUCCUUGGGGUAUUUGUGAAGCAGCAGGAAAUCCCCUCGGUUAAAGCCAGUACAUGGGCUUUCAGCUGCACCCUGCUGAAAGUCUGGCCUCCGUCACACUGUGCUUCCUCUGCUCUGCCCUAUGCAUUGGCCACCCCCACACAGCUACGUGGUGACUCCAACAAAUAGCAUUUGGAGUUGUGUUUACUAUGGCUAUUUCUAUCAUUCUGACCAAAACCAUCACUGUAGUUCUGGCUCUGAAGGCCAGAAUGCCAGGGAGAAUAAGAUGGUGAUUGGUAUCAGGAUCUCCUAAUUUUGCCCUUUUUAUAUUCUCCCUAAUCCAAGUGGAAUCUGUCUCCUGAUCUGUCAGCUCGGGCUGAGAAACUUUCCUCCCUUCAUUGACACAGACACACUCUCUAAGCUUGGAUCUGUAGUUCUCACACGCAGUGAGGUUUCAGCACUGUCUUCUACCAUGUCCUAGGAUACCUGGGCUCCUUGACCCUGGGGAGCUUUACCUUGGCUUUCCUGGCCAUGGGUUUGCCUGACACCUUCAAUAAGUCAAGUUCUUGAUGUUCAGCAUGCUGGUGUUCUGCAGUCACCUCCCUCCUUGCCGACCACAGCAUCAAGGGGAAGGUCCUGGAAGCCAUGGGGUUCUUCUUCAUCUUAGCUUUCAGUGCUGAGCUACUUGGCUGCAUCUUUGCCCCCAUAUAUUACGUUACUCUUAUGAGA